rnacentral:misc_RNA from 1 species
GAUGAAGAACGUAGCGAAAUGCGAUAAGUAAUGUGAAUUGCAGAAUUCAGUGAACCAUCGAAUCUUUGAACGCACAUUGCGCCCCCUGGUAUUCCGGGGGGCAUGCCUGUCCGAGCGUCAUUUCUGCCCUCCAGCCCGGCUGGGUGUUGGGCGCUGUCCCCCCGGGGACACGCCCCAAAGGCAGUGGCGGCGCCGCGUCGGGUCCUCGAGCGUAUGGGGCUUUGUCACCCGCUCGGGACGGACUCGUCGGCGCUGGUCUUCCUCCAGGCGACCCUUCGGGGCUCGUCUUCCUUCGGUUGACCUCGGAUCAGGUAGGGUUACCCGCUGAACUUAAGCAUAUCAAUAAGCGGAGGA